rnacentral:ncRNA from 2 species
AGAACUUUGAAGGCCGAA